CUUAAUAGAAUAAAAUCAAAGUCAAAGCUACAUGCAUUUGCUGCAAAUAAAUUUUAUCAAUUUACAAAAUGCACAUAAAUAAAUAUUUUCUUUGCCUAGGUGUAUGCACAAAAUUAAGUAAAGCCUAUGAGCAUGCAAUAAUUAUACAAUAAUUAAAAGUUAAAAUAUAGUGCGUAACUAUUAAUAUGAAUUUCAAUACCAAUUUUAUUAUCUAUUUGUGCAUUAUCUCUAUUUUUCCACUUCUAAUGGUUAGAAAAUUUUUUAUGACCAUCUCUUUUACGAUCAUUAUAGAGCCACUUACUAUAUCCACGUCCACGUCCAAGAUUACAUCUUUUGAAUUUAUUAUAUAUUAUUACAUUCAAUUUAGAGAAUGAAGCCAAUCCAGUAGAACAAAAUCAUAAAUGAUAGGUCUAUUGGCAUAAGUUCAUUAAUUUAAUGAAGCAAAAGUAUGAGUUGAAUAGCCCAAGGUGAGUAUAUUUCACCAUAUUGUGUAUUCCCCACGACUCAGGAAGUUCUUUUGUUAUAAAACGAGAAUAGGAAUCAACAAUAGAUUGCAAUAAAAAAUAUUUAGGGUGGGUUUGGAUGAGCGAUUGGGUGCGGUGCGGUGUAGUGCGGUGCGUUUAGCUUACUUUUUUGUCUUACGCUAUAGUAUCUCUACAAUAUCUAAUCUCACCGUCACCACUGUUUUACACAAACAACAGGUAAAUGCAUGCAUCGCCUAUCCAAACUCACCUUUAGUAAACUCAAAAUAAGGAGAGGAUGAGUGAGAGGAGAAUGAUAGAAU
rnacentral:lncRNA from 1 species